AAAACUUUAAGUUAAAUAAACUAAUAGCCUUCAAAGUUAUAAAUAAAAAAUAAAUUUUUAAGUUUUA
rnacentral:tRNA from 1 species